GUACUCUUUUUUAGACUUUCCCUUAACGUAAUAAAUAAAACUUGAACAAAGGUACAAAACACUCACACUCAUCAUUUAAACUUAAAACAAUCUAGACCUCAUAAAAGCGACACAAAAAUAGUUGGUGGUGUUUUUUAAAAACCUUCUCUUAUAUUAAAACCCCCCAAAAAUAAGACUGAAUAAAAAAUGACUUGCAAGACUUGUCAAGCUGAAAAAUCCCUUAGUGUACCUCUGACCUGGCAUUCGAAAUCCUCAAUGGUUUGGGACCAAUACAGCAAAUGUGGACCAUCAGCUGAGAAGACGAAGCACCAGGAACUACAGAAAAACUACGGCAGUUGUUUGGCUUUAAGACUAAUUUUUAUGAAGAAUAACAAAUAAAUUUAAGGACUUUAUUUUUAA